UACGAAGGGGGCUAGCGUUGCACGGAAUUACUGGGCGUAAAGGGCGCGUAGGCGGACAGUUUAGUCAGAGGUGAAAGCCCAGGGCUCAACCUUGGAAUUGCCUUUGAUACUGGCUGUCUUGAGUUCGGGAGAGGUGAGUGGAAUUCCCAGUGUAGCGGUGAAAUGCGUAGAUAUUGGGAGGAACACCAGUGGCGAAGGCGGCUUACUGGUCCGGUUCUGACGCUGAGGCGCGAAAGCGUGGGGAGCAAACGGG
rnacentral:rRNA from 1 species